rnacentral:rRNA from 1 species
AAUCAACGCUGGCGGCGUGCCUAACACAUGCAAGUCGAACGCGACUGGGGCUUCGGCCUCAGUUGAGUGGCGAACGGGUGAGUAACACGUGGGUGACCUACCUUCGAAUGGGGGAUAACGUCCCGAAAGGGACGCUAAUACCGCAUAACAUCCUGCCUUUGACAGGCGGAAGAUCAAAGCCGGGGAUCGCAAGACCUGGCGUUUGAAGAGGGGCCUGCGUCCGAUUAGCUAGUUGGUGAGGUAACGGACGUCACCAAGGCGACGAUCGGGUAGCCGGCCUGAGAGGGCGGGACGGCCACACUGGGACCUGAGACACGGCCCAGACU